AUAAAUAUCGAUUUUCAAUAAGUAUUGACAAUUUUUCUUGUUCACAGCUAUUUGCUGCCAACCAAAAUAAACCUGCCGACAUCGUGGGCAUACUUGUUGCAAAUAGAAGCAAGCUUCUACGGCUGUUUGCUGAUUUUAAAAUUGAUAAAGAGGAUGAACAAUUUGAGGCAGACAAAGCUCAAGUAGUAAGGGAGAUUGCUGCCUUGGAACCGAAAGAACUCUCAUGAAAGGAUGAACUUCAUUUGUAUGUGGAAUAUGUGGAGUUUGUACUAUGUGAAUUUUAGAGUUGUCAUAGUUCUUGGCGUGACAACGGUACCAAGAGUGGAAGGAGCCUUAUCUUCUAUUCUCACCUGUGUUCCUUCCGGUGUAGUUUCUAUUAAUCUCAAUCACACUUUUGUAAAAGGUAGAUAAAUAAAUUGAGAAAAUGUUUUCAUGCUGUACUCUGGUGAUGCUGAUGUUUAGCCACGCCGUAUUGUAAUUUAUUUGAUAUUCAAGCAUCACAUUGUUAUAUAAUAUUGUACAAUCGCAUGCGUGAAAACACCAUGCCACAUUUGAAUCGAAGAUGCAAACACCACGCCACAUUUGGGUCGAGGA